UACGUAGGUCCCGAGCGUUGUCCGGAUUUAUUGGGCGUAAAGCGAGCGCAGGUGGUUUAUUAAGUCUGGUGUAAAAGGCAGUGGCUCAACCAUUGUAUGCAUUGGAAACUGGUAGACUUGAGUGCAGGAGAGGAGAGUGGAAUUCCAUGUGUAGCGGUGAAAUGCGUAGAUAUAUGGAGGAACACCGGUGGCGAAGGCAGCAUACCGGCUCCACACUGACGCUGAGGCACGAAAGCGUGGGUAUCGAACAGG
rnacentral:rRNA from 1 species